GAUGAACGCUGGCGGCGUGCCUAAUACAUGCAAGUCGAGCGAACAGACGAGGAGCUUGCUCCUCUGACGUUAGCGGCGGACGGGUGAGUAACACGUGGAUAACCUACCUAUAAGACUGGGAUAACUUCGGGAAACCGGAGCUAAUACCGGAUAAUAUAUUGAACCGCAUGGUUCAAUAGUGAAAGACGGUUUUGCUGUCACUUAUAGAUGGAUCCGCGCCGCAUUAGCUAGUUGGUAAGGUAACGGCUUACCAAGGCAACGAUGCGUAGCCGACCUGAGAGGGUGAUCGGCCACACUGGAACUGAGACACGGUCCAGACUCCUACGGGAGGCAGCAGUAGGGAAUCUUCCGCAAUGGGCGAAAGCUUGACGGAGCAACGCCGCGUGAGUGAUUAAGGUCUUCGGAUCGUAAAACUCUGUUAUUAGGGAAGAACAAAUGUGUAAGUAACUAUGCCCGUCUUGACGGUACCUAAUCAGAAAGCCACGGCUAACUACGUG
rnacentral:rRNA from 1 species